ACUCGGGUGGUAUCAGAUGGACCCGCCUCUGAUUAGCUAGUUGGAGGGUAACGGCCCACCAAGGCGACGAUCAGUAGCCNGCCUGAGAGGGUGAACGGCCACAAUGGGACUGAGACACGGCCCAAACUCUACGGGAGGCAGCAGUGGGGAAUAUUGCACAAUGGGGGGAACCCUGAUGCAGCGACGCCGCGUGAAGGAAGAAGUAUUUCGGUAUGUAAAGNUCUAUCAGNUGGGAAGAAAAUGACGGUACCUGACUCAGAAGGCCC
rnacentral:rRNA from 1 species